UACGAAGGGUGCAAGCGUUAAUCGGAAUUACUGGGCGUAAAGCGUGCGUAGGUGGUUUCUUAAGUCUGCUGUGAAAGCCCUGGGCUCAACCUGGGAAUGGCGGUGGAUACUGAGGAGCUAGAGUGCGGUAGAGGAGGGUGGAAUUCCCGGUGUAGCGGUGAAAUGCGUAGAGAUCGGGAGGAACAUCAGUGGCGAAGGCGGCCCUCUGGACCAGCACUGACACUGAGGCACGAAAGCGUGGGGAGCAAACAGG
rnacentral:rRNA from 1 species